rnacentral:rRNA from 1 species
CAACAGAGAGAAGCAAUACCGCGAGGUGGAGCAAAACUUCAAAAAAUGGUCUCAGUUCGGACUGUAGGCUGCAACUCGCCUACACGAAGUUGGAAUUGCUAGUAAUCGUGGAUCAGCAUGCCACGGUGAAUACGUUCCCGGGUCUUGUACACACCGCCCGUCACACCAUGGGAGCUGGUAACACCCGAAGUCAGUAGUCUAACCGCAAGGAGGACGCUGCCGAAGGUGGGAUUAGCGACUGGGGUGAAGUCGUAACAAGGUAAC